AUACUUACCUGGCAGGGGAAAUACCAUGAUCACAAAGGUGAUUUUCCCAGGGCAAGGCUUAUCCAUUGCACUCCAGAUGUGCUGACCCCUGAGAUUUCCCCGAAUGUGGGAAACUCGACUGCAUAAUUCUGGGGGCACCAAGGCUCUUGGGGCUAAUGGAGU